UACAGAGGUCUCAAGCGUUGUUCGGAUUCAUUGGGCGUAAAGGGUGCGUAGGUGGCUGGGAAAGUUUGAUGUGAAAGCUCAGGGCUUAACCCUGAAAUGGCAUUGAAUACUGCCUGGCUGGAGGUUUGGAGGGGGGACUGGAAUUCUUGGUGUAGCAGUGAAAUGCGUAGAUAUCAAGAGGAACACCAGUGGCGAAGGCGAGUCCCUGGACAACACCUGACACUGAGGCACGAAAGCCGGGGGAGCAAACAGG
rnacentral:rRNA from 1 species